AUUGAACGCUAGCGGCAGGCCUAACACAUGCAAGUCGAACGAGUGGCGGACGGGUGAGUAAUUUCUGGGAAACUGCCUGAUGGAGGGGGAUAACUACUGGAAACGGUAGCUAAUACCGCAUACCAUCAGAUGUGCCCAGAUGGGAUGAGCUGGUUGGUGGGGUAACGGCUCACCAAGGCGACGAUCCCUAGAUGGUCUGUGAGGAUGACCAGCAAAACUGGAACUGAGCCAGGGUCCAGACUCCUACGGCAGGCAGCAGUGGGGAAUAUUGCACAAUGGGAGCAAGCCUGAUGCAGCCAUGCCGCGUGUAGGAAGAAGGCCUUCGGGAUGUAAAGUACUUUCAGCGGGGAGGCGUUACCCGCAGAAGAAGCACCGGCUAACUCCGUGCCAGCAGCCGCGGUAAUAC
rnacentral:rRNA from 1 species